GACGAACGCUGGCGGCGUGCCUAAUACAUGCAAGUAGAACGCUGAAGAGAGGAGCUUGCUCUUCUUGGAUGAGCUGCGAACGGGUGAGUAACGCGUAGGUAACCUGCCUGGUAGCGGGGGAUAACUAUUGGAAACGAUAGCUAAUACCGCAUAAAAUUGAUUAUUGCAUGAUAAUUAAUUGAAAGAUGCAACUGCAUCACUACCAGAUGGACCUGCGUUGUAUUAGCUAGUUGGUGAGGUAACGGCUCACCAAGGCGACGAUACAUAGCCGACCUGAGAGGGUGAUCGGCCACACUGGGACUGAGACACGGCCCAGACUCCUACGGGAGGCAGCAGUAGGGAAUCUUCGGCAAUGGGGGGAACCCUGACCGAGCAACGCCGCGUGAGUGAAGAAGGGUUUCGGAUCGUAAAGCUCUGUUGUGAGAGAAGAACGGGUGUGAGAGUGGAAAGUUCACACUGUGACGGUAUCUUACCAGAAAGGGACGGCUAACUACGUG
rnacentral:rRNA from 1 species